UCGCCACACACCACUCACUAUCAACAUCAGCCGUUCCUUGUCCUUCCUCCACCCGUACCGUACCCGUAUCACACCCCGAGUGCUGCUGCCCGCCCUGCUGAUUUGCCUGGCUGUCUCCCUCCCUCAGUGUGCCCGGGAAACAGUACAAGGAGGUGGCAUGUGACUAAGGAGACGAGGGAGCGAGGGGCAAGAUGGCGAGAACGAUGUGUGAAGACGAAGUAAGAGGGAGGAGUUGGGUCCUGCUGGUGCAACUCUUGGCUUCAGUACUGAUGGCCGCCGGCAGUCGUGAUGGGAGGAGGAGAGGACAACAAAGAGAAACUGAGAGCUGCUGUAGUCAGUCCCGCCCCACCGUACGUGUAGCUUGAGGAGAUCAGGCGUCGCAGCAGUCACGGCUCGGGUGAAGUCCCUCGCAUAUGUAAGACCCAGGAAGAGGAUGAAGAAGGCUACGAAAUCUCUGCUGUUAUCGCCAAACCGAUCGAUGGGCUGCUGCAGAGAAAGGAGGGACAAAGGACUGACGUGGUGUGUGCACAUCCCCUGUUGGAGACGUCAUCGCCGCCAAGGGAUUGUGGGAGGCAGGGGUUUAUUUUUUUUAUUUAUUUAUUUUUUUUUUUUUUUGUGCCAAUAUAUUUGAGAAAAGGUGACUGGGGGAAAAGUCUGCGGGAAACACCCAUCAGCUUCAAGUAUGUUUUCUAAUGUCCAUAUGAGGGAGAGAGAGGAAGGAGGAGGAGGAAACAUGGAAACAUGGACUAGCAGGCAGCAGAAAGCCUGCUGGCUCAUUACUAGGCUGCCUGCUUUCAGUGAUUUAAUCAAUCCGUUUGCCAUAGGAGUGGCUUGCAGGGAAGGAUUAAAGCACUUGUGUACCUACUCUUGGAUACGUUCAGUUCACUCCCAAUGCAGCAAAGUGGCGAUCAAUGCGAUUCUUGAAUGAGUUGAUGGUCUCUGCGCUAACCACUUCUGCAGGAAGGCUGUUUCAGUGGCGAACCACUUUAUUCGAGAAAUAACUCCUGCCGAUGUCGGUAUUGCAUCGUUUUGCUUGAAUUGUUUUUCCGUUGUUUCUUGUUCUCAGGUUAGUUUGUAGCGUGAAAAGCUUGGAGUGAUCAAUGUUGCUGAGCUUGUUCAGGUACUUAAAGACUUGUAUCAUGUCUCCCCGCAGUCGUCUCUUUUCCAACGUGAAGAGGUUGAGUCACUCGAGUCGCUCUUCAUAGGGCUUCGUCCUCAGUGAUGAUAUCAUCUUCGUGGCGUGGCGCUGUACUCUCUCAAGUAAUUCAAUGUCCUUCCAGUAAUUUGGAGACCAGAACUGCACGGUGUAUUCCAAGUGGGGCCUUACCAGCGAGUUAUACAAGGAUAACAUAACUCCCGGCGUCUUGUAUUCGAAGUUCCUCGCUAUGAACCCAAGCAUUGUAUUGGCUUUCUUACAGGCGGACUUGCAGUGUUUUGUUUGUUUCAAGUCACUGCUGAUGAUGACCCCGAGGUCUCUUUCCUCUUGCAUAACACAUAGUGGUUCCCCACCCAUGUGGUAUGUGUGAUUGCGGUUUCUGGAUCUGAUAUGCAUUACUUUACAUUUGGUAGUGUUGAAGGACAUCUACCAUUAUUCCGACCACCGAGUGAUCAGGUCCAGGUCUCUCUGGAUAAUUUCGCAGUCUGCUGUCGUGAGAGCCUUCCCACCCACCUUUAUGUCGGCGGCAAAUUUUGUAAGAUUGGAUCUUAAUCCUUGUUCUAGGUCGUUGAUAUAUAUGAUGAAGAGUAUGGGUCCCAGCACUGACCCCUGUGGCACUCCACUUGUGACCGGGAGCCACUCGGAGGCCUGUCCGUUGAGUACAACUCGUUGUUUCCUUCCAGUGAGCCAGUCUUUGAUCCACGCUGUCAGAUUGCCGCCUAACCCCGCCGACUUGAGUUUCUUGAGGAGGAGUUGAGGAGUCGAAGGCUUUUUGAAAGUCUAGAUAUAUAACCACUGGGGAUAUGAAUAUCCCAGUUUGGGAAGAAGUCCAGUAAAUUGGUUAAGCAUGAGCGCUUAUUCCUGAAACCGUGCUGAGCAUCGGAAAUGAUGAUGAUGUCUUCAAGGAACCUAACGAGUUUGUCUCUGAUGAUCUUCUCGAGGAUUUUUCCGGCCACUGAGGUCAAGCUGAUUGGUCUGUAGUUUAGGGCCACGCUUUUGUCUCCCUUUUUGAAGAUCGGUGUUACAUUCGCUUGUUUCCAGUCUUUCGGGACUUUGUUUUGUUGUAGUGACAGAUUGUAGAUGGCAGUGAGUGGCUAGAGGAUUUGCUGCUUGAGUUCCUUGAGCAGCCUGAGUGACAAGUCGUCUGGUCCGGUGGACUUGUUUGUCUCGAGUUUGUCUAGGUACUUUUUCACAUCCCGUUCAUCGAUUGUGCCAAUUUCUAGGGGAGUGAUUCCCAUCAGUGGGGUAGGGCUCUUGGGUACGGACUGGGUGUUCUCGACCGUGAACACAGACGCGAAGUUUCUGUUUAGGAUUUCAACCAUUUGUCUGCUGUCCUGUGUUAGUACGUCACUUUCAUCUUUUAGGGGACCGAUAUUGCUUUUUGUCUUCUUUUUGGUUCUUAUAUACAUGAAGAACUUUUUCGGGUUGGACUUGGCUUCGCGUGCAAUCUGCUUUUCAGAGUCGCGUUUACGCUGGCGAAUAAGAGUUCUGCAGGCUCUGAGGCUUUGAUGGUACUGUUCGCGAGCCUCGUCAGUGCUGUUUUCCUUUAGCAAGUUGUAUUUUCUCUUCUUUAAAUUAAUCGCCUGUCGAACUUGGGUAGUCAUCCAUGGUGGGCUUGUGGCCAUUAUUUGUUCUCCUAGUCUUCAUGGGAACAGUUGUUCUCUCUACCUCUAGGAGUUUGUUCUUGAAACCGUUCCACGUGCCAUCCACAGGAGGAGGUGGAGGACAUACAAAGAGAGGAUUGAAGGAGGUGGAAGGUCGCGGAAGACAACAAAGGGAAGGGUGGAGAGGUGUUGAGGUGGGGAGCGUAGAGUUGUGCCGUUGUUCAUACUGUGGCAAACGACGCCAUGUUAUGAGAUAUCUUUCAUUCUUUUUAUCCAUCCUCAAGGGCAAAGGAUUCUGAGGUGUGUCUAUUUCCUGACAUUUUUUUUUUUUAUCACUCCUCCAAGUACUAUACCUCAAAUUCAUUAACCAUGGCCUUUUCUGAACAUUUUAUUUAUUUCCAGAUGUAGCCCAAGAUACCGGUAAGGGCUGUGUG